rnacentral:rRNA from 1 species
AUUUUUUUAAGAAAUUUAAUUUAAAAUAAAACCUGCUCAAAUGUAAAUAAUAAUAAAUAGCUGCAGAAUAUCUGUACUAAGGUAGCAUAAUCAUUAGCUUUUUAAUUAAAAGAUAGAAUGAAUGGUUAAACGAAAUAAGUUCUGUUUCUAAAAAUUUAAUUAAAUUAAAAUAAAAGUAAAAAUUCUUUUUAAUAAAUAAGAAAGACGACAAGACCCUAAAAACUUAAAUUUUAGCUGGGGCGGCAAAUAAUUAAACCUUAAUUUAAAAUAAAAAAUUCUAAAAAAUUACAAUUAAUCAAGUUACUAUAGGGAUAACAGCGCAACUUUAGUUUAAAGUUCUCAUUUUAACUAAAAUCUACGACCUCGAUGUUGAAUUAAUUUAACUAAUAAAAGCAAAAAUUUAAUAAGAAGGUCUGU